rnacentral:rRNA from 1 species
GAUGACGUCAAAUCAUCAUGCCCCUUAUGCUUAGGGCUACACACGUGCUACAAUGGGUAGUACAGAGGGUUCCCAAGCCGUAAGGUGGAGCUAAUCCCUUAAAGCUACUCUCAGUUCGGAUUGUAGGCUGAAACUCGCCUACAUGAAGCUGGAGUUACUAGUAAUCGCAGAUCAGAAUGCUGCGGUGAAUGCGUUCCCGGG